UUUGGAUCUAAACGCAGAAAUUUAGCAAUCAGGAUUUCAGUCAUUCUGUCCUCUGUGUUGCUGGUUGCCUUUAUUUCUGUUGCUGCACUCAUUUUUGCCCAUCAUAGAACAAAAUCUCACAACAGUUUUUCACACAGGAAUCUCAAGAUAAACAAG